rnacentral:lncRNA from 1 species
CACGAUUCUUCGAAGGUUUUUAUCGGUUAAUUUUGGCAUUGGUUAUUUACGUUACAGUGUCGACAUCAAUCAUUCCGUGUCUAGAAAUAUUAUUCUUGAGAGAAAGCAAAUGAGUAUGAUUAUACUUUAUAAAAACUGGUCUGGAUAACAAUAGAUACAGGUACAUAUGAUAUCACCGAUUUAACAUAUACAACAAACUAGUUACAAGAAAGGUACAACAAUUUCUAAGGUAGCUAAGCAUUAUGAAAUUGCGAGGGUGGUUACCGGCUUGUCACGGUCUGCUUGGUGCGUCGUCGGCUCCGUCUCUGCCUUAGACGAUUAUUCCAAUCUUUCACAUAUAACUUCGGGAACAUCCAUAGGAUUAGAGAGUCGAUCUUUGGCCAGUACCAAAAUCGGAAACCUGACCAUAACGCGGCUGGCAACAUGACAGCACCUAAGCCAAAAACGUAUCCGAAUGCUUUACUUAGAAAGUCCCAGUUGGUCGAUUUUUCAUGUCUGCCAUUGAAGUCACACCAAACAUUUGGAGAAGAGCAUGAUCUAGUUAAAGGUUUCCCACACAAAUUCGGGUUACCUCCAUACGAAGUGUUCUCAAAUGUUU